GUAGUCAAAAGGGAAACAGCCCAGACCAUCAGCUAAGGUCCCAAAGUGUAAGUUAAGUGGAAAAGGAUGUGGGAUUCUAAGACAACUAGGAUGUUGGCUUAGAAGCAGCCACUCAUUUAAAGAGUGCGUAAUAGCUCACUAGUCAAGAGAUCCUGCGCCGAAGAUGUCCGGGG
rnacentral:rRNA from 1 species